rnacentral:misc_RNA from 1 species
AAGGAGAAGGAGAAGGAGAAGGGGAGGGUACAAAUGCCAAACACUGGUUUAGUGGUGGUCCACAUAGCAUAUUAUUCCCCUCGAAGGACGAGGUAGGAAACUUUUGCAGGACAGAGGGAACUGAACCAUUCAAGUGGUUGUAGCUCAAGUUUAACUGUUUGAGGCCUGAGAUAUUGAUUUCAGGUAUUGGUCCCGUAAGGGAGUUGUUUUGGAGGUACAAACUAGUAAGGUUUUUUAAGUUUUGUAUCGUGAGAGGAAUAUUGCCUGUGAAUGAAUUGAAGGAAAGGUCAAGUGAGUUAAGCUGGGGAGAGAGAGACGAAGGAAUAGUACCCGAAAAGUUGUUAUGUUGGAGGUAUACAGAUUGAAGGGAAGGAAGGGAUAGCAAGUCUGAUGGAAGUUCUCCACUAAAGAAGUUGGAGCGAAGACUUAGGGUCGUAAGGUGAUCCAACUUUCCAAGCGUGUUGGCUGGAAUGGGACCAUAGAGUCCUACACCAGGGAGACGGACAGCAAGUACAUGAGAGCCAUUUGCAUUGCAGGUGAUGCCAAUCCAAGAAGUGCAUACUGGGGUAGUAGAUUUCCAAUUCAGUUUCCUGCUAUGAGGAACCGCAGCAGCAAAGUUAAGAAGGGCUUGUUUGUCGGAAUAUAGGUCAGCAUUAGUUUGGGAAAGGAAAAACAGGGGUAAUAGAAAUGUUAAUGCCAGAAGAAAUGAGAGUAUCUUCAUAGAGUAUGUUGGUGAAACGUCUUGCAGGUGAUUGCAGUGUAAAAUCUCAGCAAUACCUCUUCUUUCCCUUGAAAUUGCUCACGAAUGCGAGAGCAGAACGGUAACACCCAUCAGAGGCAAAAUGAUCUGAAGUGGAAGCUGAGAGACAGAGAGAAGAAGGCCGUAAAUUUAAGGGCAGAGAGAGGAUGGCAUUUCUUCAAGAACACGCAGACUAAAGAACCCAAAAGAAAGAACUUAAAAGACUAAAGUAGUUGUUGUAGUUGAAGCUGUUGAAGAUUCGAAGACUCAGUACGUUUUUCUAAUUCUAACGUUCGAUUGAGCUGAGAAUUUUCCUUCAAGCUUCUCCGUCAAGCAAACGCAGCGUUGCACGCAGAUCUCGAUGGGCUCUUCUAUAUACUAUUAUUCGC